ensembl:lncRNA
AUGUUCUCGGUGUUGGACGUGUUGAGUCACUUGCUUUUGACUAAGGACCAGAGCUUCCCGGCGGGCGAGCGGGCGGGCGGGCCGAGCCUCGCAGGCCUCCCCAUCGUCUCUGGGCGUUCGGCGCCCGUUCUCCGUCUCCGAAACCCUGUGGGUCUUUCCAGGCUCCCUACUUUCGACGUUGAACACCAUCAGAAGGUUCCUGGCGAGGAGAAGAACCAAGAGGAGAGAAAGCGGAGCACAUGAGACUCAGAAGGAUGCAGCAACAGGCCGACCUCACAUGCUCGGCGUCCAUCAGGUUAGGCUGGACCGCGACUCAAAGCGCCUUCUGACACCACGUUCUAUGGCUCUCGCCGGUAGAGGUCUGUCCUUGUGGUCUCCCAGUCUUGAAUGCGUGCAUCUCAUCUGGAUGAGCCCCCAGCUGGACACACACUGUUGCUCAUCACAAGUCUGUCUAAAGUAGCAAGUUAUGUGUGGCUGCCUAAGAGGUAACCCCAGACAUCGUAUCUCAAAGCCGUAAUGAUUUAUUUAUUCAAAACUCUUCCAUGUGAGCUGGAUUUAGUUGGGCGGGCAGUUCCCUUGCUGGUCUCGCCAGAGGUCCUUUAUGUGGCUGUUUGAGCACGUGGUCAGGGCUCUCAGAUCUUCAGGGGCCUCUCUCAGAGGUCCAGCUAUUUGUGAAAGCCAUGGGCACUCUGGUUUGUAUAUAAGUGGCAUUUCCAUCGGGAUGGCACAGAUUUUAUAAGGGAUGGCACCAUGAUUCCAAGAGAAUAAGCCCCAGUGCUCCAGUGCUUAUCUGGUAGUAGUUUGCUUUGCAUUUUCCAAUGGGCCAUUGAGCAGAGCAGCUCCUGGUCAGGAGAGUUGCCCGUGUCCUAUGUCCUAAUCCCGCAAACCUGUGAAUUUGCUGCCGUCCAUGGCAGAAGGGACCUCAGAGCUGUACGUGGUUCAGUUAAGGAUGUUGACGUGGACUCUCUGGGUGGCCUGAGGUGAUCAUGAGCGAGAGGACCAGAGGUGACAGUCAGGACCUGGUGACCAAGCAGAGGCUGGAGGGACGCAGCCUUGGCUCCAGGAAAGGAAGGGGCCUCCAGAGGCUGGAAAAUAUAGAGAUUCUCCCUAGAACCUCCAGGAGGAUCUCAGUUCUGCCACAUUCCCAUUUCAACCCUGCAAGACCAAUUUGGGACUUCUGACCUUGAGAACUGGAAAAUAAUGUAUUUGGUUUUUGUGUUUUUCCGCACCUGCAGCACAUGGA